rnacentral:rRNA from 1 species
GGUGCUUGCACCAUGGUAACCAUGGCGGACGGGUGAGUAACGCGUAAGGGACUUACCUGCAGGACUGGGAUAACAGGGGGAAACUCCUGACAAGACCGGAUAAUGUCAUGGAGCUGCAUGGCUUUAUGAUGAAAGGAGACGCCUGCGGAGAGCCUUGCGUCCUAUUAGCUAGUUGGUGAGGUAAGGGCUCACCAAGGCGAAGAUAGGUAGCCGGCCUGAGAGGGUGGACGGCCACAAGGGGACUGAGAUACGGCCCUUACUCCUACGGGAGGCAGCAGUGGGGAAUAUUGGACAAUGGGGGCAACCCUGAUCCAGCAAUUCUGUGUGCACGAAGAAGGUUUUCGGAUUGUAAAGUGCUUUCAGCAGGGAAGAAGUAAGUGACGGUACCUGCAGAAGAAGCGACGGCUAAAUACGUGCCAGCAGCCGCGGUAAUACGUAUGUCGCGAGCGUUAUCCGGAAUUAUUGGGCAUAAAGGGCAUCUAGGCGGCCUGACAAGUCAGGGGUGAAAACCUGCGGCUCAACCGCAGGCCUGCCUUUGAAACUGUCAGGCUGGAGUACCGGAGAGGUGGACGGAACUGCACGAGUAGAGGUGAAAUUCGUAGAUAUGUGCAGGAAUGCCGAUGAUGAAGAUAGUUCACUGGACGGUAACUGACGCUGAAGUGCGAAAGCCGGGGGAGCGAACAGGAUUAGAUACCCUGGUAGUCCCGG